rnacentral:lncRNA from 1 species
GAGUGGAACUCACCUAUGAGCCUGGUUGUGACAGACCUCCUGGAAGUCAUACUGUCUCUGGGUGUAGUAGGGGUUCUAGAGUUCCAGCUCUGUCUCAGGUUAUGUGGAAAGGUCAGACUUUCAAAGGAGAGCUAAUGCCAAUACUCCUCAAAUUAUUCCACAAAAUAGAAACAGAAGGAAUUCUGCCAAGCUCAUUCCAUGAGGAAUCUGUCACCCUGAUACCAAAACCCCACAAAAAGUCAACAGACAAAAAAAUUACAGCCCAAUUUUUCUAAUGAACAUUGGUAUAAAAAUAGGUUCAAUGACCCAGGGUAGAGCAAUGCUAGGGUGCUGAGGCAGGAGUAGGUGGGCAGGUGGGACAGGAGCACCCUUAUAGAGGCAGAGAGUGGGGGAGGGGAUGGAGGCUUGAGGAGGGAAAACUGGGAAGUGGAUAACAUUUGAAAUGUAAAUAAAUAAAAUAACUAAUAAAAAUGAAAAAAAACUAA